UAGGGAAUCUUCGGCAAUGGGGGCAACCCUGACCGAGCAACGCCGCGUGAGUGAAGAAGGUUUUCGGAUCGUAAAGCUCUGUUGUAAGUCAAGAACGGGUGUGAGAGUGGAAAGUUCACACUGUGACGGUAGCUUACCAGAAAGGGACGGCUAACUACGUGCCAGCAGCCGCGGUAAUACGUAGGUCCCGAGCGUUGUCCGGAUUUAUUGGGCGUAAAGCGAGCGCAGGCGGUUUGAUAAGUCUGAAGUUAAAGGCUGUGGCUCAACCAUAGUUCGCUUUGGAAACUGUCAAACUUGAGUGCAGAAGGGGAGAG
rnacentral:rRNA from 1 species